UGUUGGUAUAGAUUGACAGUUCACAUGAAAGCUCUCUUCUAAGAAAUAGAAUAUGUCAGCUCACUUGUAUCCCAAGUCAUUGGCCUCAGGCUGACUUAGGAGUACUGCUCCUGCCCUUCUUUUCAUUAAAGCCCUCUGUGCUCUGCAUAAAGCUUAUCUUCUAAGUACACGGACCUUCUGUCUUAACCUGCGUAAAUACUGGAAUGCGUGUUACAAGUCCUUCAUCGAGAAUGUAAUAGGAUACUGUUUAGUGACUUAAAACAGUAUUUUUGAAAAUGAAAAUAAUUACAUAUUUCAACAAUUGACGCAUUUAAGAAGCAGACAGGUUUUGAAACAAAACACUCUACGUUUGGGCUUGUAUUGAAAUAUUUCAUGUUCCCAGCUGACUGUACAAAUAGA